AUGUUGGAGAGAGGAGAGCAGAGCAGAGAGUCCGUGAUGAUUGAAGCUGUUUCCGAAAUAGUCACGAUGGAGAGCUUGUCUGAUGUCGAAGUGGAAGACAUCGACGACGAACCUUUUGAAUUUGACGGUAGACCACAUUUGUUCGAAGAUGAGGAGUUACUUGCACUAGAGAACGAGAGAGCGGAGAGAGAGGCGCAGAGAGCGGAACAGGCAGAGGCGGCUUCACGGCCAAACCAUGCAAGGGAGGGUGGUGCAAUUUGGAGGGUUAGUCCAGACUCCUGCAAAUAUCUCAGACAAAAAAACUACAUAUAUCCACCUGCAGGGGGCGCUAUAACCUAGGCCAACACGUUUUUGCCUAUAACUCCCAAACCGUAUGUCGUACAUUCAAAAACCUUGUAUCCCCAGAUUCCCUGAAUGGAGCUGAAUCACUUUGCGAUUGGCCACGCCCACUUCCGUAUAGAACGUUGUUUUUUUUCCGCAAAAUCUGGAAAACCUACUUUUUCAAACUCCUCCUUGGGAUUUUGUCCGAUCUGCGUGAAACUUGGCACGUACACUCUUCAGCUGGACCUGAUCUAAAGUUAUCAAAAGAAUUUUGCUUGGUCAAAAAAUGCGCAAAUUAUUCACGAACAAAUUUCUGUAGCUAGCUAUAAAAAUGUAAACUGUUUGAAAUCUCGGUCAAACUGAAUGCUGUGAACACAAAAUUUAAGGUCCUUGGUUGCCAUGACACUGGGAAGGGAUGAGCCCAAUUUUGGCCACUAGGGGGUGCUAAAAAUAUGGGAAGUUUAUAUCUCUUAAACAGCUACACCGAUUUUUACGAAAUUUGGUCAGUAUGAUGUAGGGCCAAUCCUGAGGCCAUAUCUUGAAGGUGGUCAUGAAUGCUCAAUGUAGGUGUGGCUUAUAACAACAUCAACAACAAACAUUAAUUUUGCAAAACCUACUUUUUCGAACUCCUUCUUGGGAUUUUGUCCCAUCUGCGUGAAACUUGGCACAUACGCUCUUCAGCUGGACCUGAUCUAAAGUUAUCAAAAGAAUUUUGCUCAGUCAAAAAAUGUGUAAAUUAUUAACCAACAAAGUUCUGUAGCUAGCUAUAAAAAUGGAAAGUGUUUGAUAUCUCGGUCAAACUAAAUGCUAUUAACCCAUAAUUUGAGAUCCAUGAUUACCAUAACACUGGG
rnacentral:lncRNA from 1 species